UGAAGCGGCAAUAGCUCAAAUUUGAAAUCUGGCGUCUUUGGACGUCCGAGUUGUAAUUUGUAGAGGAUGUUUCGGUAUUAGCUCCGGUCUAAGUCCCUUGGAACAGGGUGUCGCAGAGGGUGAGAAUCCCGUACGCGAUCGGCUGCUUUUGCCAUGUGAAACUCCUUCGACGAGUCGAGUUGUUUGGGAAUGCAGCUCUAAUUGGGAGGUAAAUUUCUUCUAAAGCUAAAUACUGGCCAGAGACCGAUAGCGCACAAGUAGAGUGAUCGAAAGAUGAAAAGCACUUUGGAAAGAGAGUUAAAAAGUACGUGAAAUUGUUGAAAGGGAAGCGCUUGCAAUCAGACCUGCUUGCAGUUGUUCAUCUAAGCUUUUGCCUAGUGCAUUCUUCUGCAAGUCAGGCCAGUAUCAGUUCGGGCGGUUGGAUAAAGAAUUCAGGAAUGUAGCUCCUUUCGGGGAGUGUUAUAGCCUGUUUUGUAAUGCAACCAGCCCGG
rnacentral:rRNA from 1 species